rnacentral:rRNA from 1 species
UACGAAGGGGGCUAGCGUUGUUCGGAAUUACUGGGCGUAAAGCGCACGUAGGCGGACAUUUAAGUCAGGGGUGAAAAUCCCAGAGCUCAACUCUGGAACUGCCUUUGAUACUGGGUGUCUUGAGUAUGGAAGAGGUGAGUGGAAUUCCGAGUGUAGAGGUGAAAUUCGUAGAUAUUCGGAGGAACACCAGUGGCGAAGGCGGCUCACUGGUCCAUUACUGACGCUGAGGUGCGAAAGCGUGGGGGAGCAAACAGG